rnacentral:rRNA from 1 species
UUCUUUAAUAUGCCCCUUUAGCCUAAGACCAGUUACUCACAGAAACUAAGCAGAGCUGAGCCUGGUCAGUACCUGGAUGGGAGACCACAUGGGAAAACUAGGUUGCUGUUGGAA